CUAGCAGACGAGACAAUUGCACGGACUGGCAUUCAAACCUUCAGCGGGCCGCAAGUAAUAAUCCCAGGCAACCACCCGUUCAAUUUGUAGCCGGUAAUCAAUCAUCAAAGAAAUUUAUGAAAACAAACAAAUGCGCUGGUGGAUGGAUGGCAAAAAUCGAGGGAAAGAGAUUAAACAUGGAAAAUACGGGCAUGUGUUUGCACUAUCCACACAUGCUUUUACUAGAUACUAAUCCGGAUUCUGGAGAUAAACCCACACGUUAAUUUCGUUUGAAACUUGUUUCUUGGGAUCGGUAUUGAAUAUUUAGUCCCGCGCCCAUCUCUAAUUCGGACAUUCCACUCGUGACCAUCCGAUAUAUAACUGGCGUCAAAGCAAAGCCUCGAAGAAUACUGGCGAUUUUUAAAUUCGAAUGGAAGGAUAAGGUGAACCAAACUACCGGAAAAAGAAUAAAAGCCGCUCCAAUUUUUAACUUGAGGCUUUGUGUCACGUGACUUAUGGUUCCAAAGUUAUGGUGCUUUGUACAUAAUAUGCCAUCUAUGGGAGAUGCUACGACCUCGGGCAAACUCCCGCCCCUCUUUACUUUACAACAGGGCCUUACUUUUAGCUGUCUAUUCGUAAUGGUUCCAACGCCUACGGGGAGGUGCCACACCCCUUUGGCAGAGCCCAUUUUUUAUGCGCUAUGUCACCAGUUAAAGCCGCUUGAAAAUCCAUUCAGUAGCUCCGGAGAUUAGUGAGUUUAAACAGACAAAGAUUCUAAAAAUGGUCAAAAUGUGUGCUCUCCAUCACCUUAGGUUAUUCUAAUAAAGAAAUUCUCAAUGUGCAGAUACGACUUUUCUACAGUUUUAUUAUAGUAUAGGUAUAUAUAUAUAUAUAUAUAUAUAUAUAUAUAUACACAUAUACUUGGGAUAUUAAUCCCGUGAUUUUAAGUGCAGAAAAAUUAUUG